GAGGGAAGGUUCACACAGCCUCUGGAGUUCUGUCUGUGUUUGCUGCAUUUGUCCUAGUCCCAUCUCCUCCCGCUGACUGACCUGUACCAGGCCGGUGAGGAGGUGUGGGACCAGAACUGCGGACUGCCUCAUUAACCCCGGCUCAUCCGGACCUGUCCGUCUGUAAUCAGCGACUGACACUCUAUAACCGAAUAGGGUCGGGAGCGGCAGCACUGACUGAAUUCUCGGUGCACGGUCGGCACAUUUGUCAUCCGGGACCGCACUGAACACCGUCCGGUAUCAACAUCAGAGAGGAUCCGCCCUGUGGACAGGCAGCAGCUUGUACACAGAAAAUCGCGCUGUGAGUCUCACAGAACAGCAACACCGGGCUCUCCCCCAUAGAUAAUAAAUAUCUGUCGCUGGACUGGUUGGAAUGAAGUUAGCAGAAAACCACUUGAAAAUAUAUCGACACGGAGACUGAACAAUCUUGGUGAAUUGAGUUAGACCUGCGGUGAGAGAUUUAUUGGAAGAAAAGCCCACAACUGGAAGCAGACCCCAACUAAAGAUGAGGGAACACCAGAAAGUGAACCAGCCAGAGAACUGAGAGCACCAACUAGAGAGAACACUUCUGACUCAGAGUUUCGAUUGAUUCAGUCAGGAGAAAGAGUAUCACCAACACUUGGAGCAUUCCUGCACCGGGACCAGAGUGUAAACAAUAAGACGUCAAUUAACAAUUGUCAGUCAGAAUCAGUAUGGACACAGGUAUGUUCACUGGGAUCUAUAUACGUAGUUAAACAUCUGUCGCUUUUGUGCACAAUAGUUCAGAGGAAGUAACUUACACAGACGUUAACAGGGCACAGACAGUUUUCAUCAAGCAGUGUCAUUGAAUCCACUGCUAAUUGGCCUCAGUAAUGG